rnacentral:tRNA from 1 species
GUGGGGUUGUGGCUCAGUGGUAGAGUACUCUCCUAGCACAGGCAAGGCCCUGGGUUUGUUCCCCAGCACCACA